rnacentral:rRNA from 1 species
AGAAUCAACGCUGGCGGCGUGCCUAACACAUGCAAGUCGAACGAGAAAGGGGUAGCAAUACCCUGAGUAAAGUGGCGCACGGGUGAGUAACACGUGACUAACCUACCCUUGAGUGGGGGAUAACUGAGGGAAACCUUAGCUAAUACCGCAUAAUACCCACGGGUCAAAGGAGCAAUUCGCUCGAGGAGGGGGUCGCGGCCGAUUAGUUAGUUGGCGGGGUAAUGGCCCACCAAGACGAUGAUCGGUAUCCGGCCUGAGAGGGGCGCGACGGACGACGACUGGAACUGAAACACGGUCCAGACUCCUACGGGAGGCAGCAGUGGGGAAUUUGCGCAAUGGGGGAAACCCUGACGCAGCAACGCCGCGUGGAGGAUGAAGUCCUUCGGGACGUAAACUCCUUUCGAUCGGGACGAUUAUGACGGUACCGGAAGAAGAAGCCCCGGCUAACUUCGUAGCCAGCAGCCGC